CAAUGCAGAUGAAAGCUCUGCACAUCGAAAGUUCAAGGUUUCCUUGGCAAUGGUAAUCAACCAAGGGUUAGGCGGUCCUAAGGGAAAGCCGAGAGGCGUACUCGAUGGAUAGUGGGUUAAUAUUCCCACCCUUGAAUAUAUUUUUAACAAGUUGCGCAAUGUAGUAAUUCUAGCGGAUAAUUGGAUUUCACGCUCUUGGUCUAAGGAGCAAUCUGAAGACACAGAAAAUUCGGAAUUUAUUCCGGAAAUUAGAGUGAGCGCGUUGCCUAGAAAAGGCUUGUUAAGUUAAAUUUAUUUAAACCGUACCGUAAACCGACACAGGUGAACAAGCGUAAGUAUGCUAAGAUGAACGGGUGAGACCUCGUUAAGGAACUAGGCAAAUUAGUGGCCGUAAGUUCGCAAUAUGGCCUGCCCAAGUCCGCAAGGAUUUUGGGCUGCAACAACCGUACUUCAACCGUGAUCCCUGACCAGUGCUGGAAGGUUAAGCUUGGGGGUCGUAUCCGCAAGGGUAUGGCUCACUGAGUGAAGCCCCAGUGAACGUCGGCGAUAACUAUAAUCGUCCAAAGGUAGCGUAAUCCCUUGCCAGGUAAGUUCUGGCCCGCAUGAAUGGGUUAACGAGUUGAAGACUGUCUCGACGAGGCGCCCGGUGAAAAUGCAGUACCAGUGAAGAUGCUGGUUACCUGCGGCUAGACGGAAAGACCCCGGAAGCUUUACUGUAGUUUGAUAUUGACUUAUGAUUUUUAAUGCGUAGUGUAGUGGGUAGCCUAUGAAGCGGUAAUUUCGGUUACUGUGGAGGCGACGAUGAAACACCCAUCUUUGAAAAUUAUAAUUCUAAUUCACUUUAUUGUGAUGACAGUGUUAAAUGGGCAGUUUAAAUGGGGCAUUUGCCUCCUAAAGAGUAAUGGAGGCGUUUAAAGGUUAGCUAGCUCCGUAUGGAAAUCGGAGCGAUAGGGCAAAGCCAUAAGCUAGCUUUACUGCAAGACGUAUAUGUCGCGCAGUUGCGAAAGCAGAACUUAGUGAACCGACUUGAUUUUUAUAGAAAACAAGAAGAUCAUCAGCCAAAAGCUACUCCGGGGAUAACAGGCUAGUAGAGCCCGAGAGUCCAUAUCGACGGCUCUGUUCGGCACCUUAAAGACAUUGGGGUACCAUAGUAGCAAUACUAUAAACCUAAUUAGUCUGUUAUUUAUAAUUUUUAUAAUCUUUUCAAAAAAAGGUUAAACAUUGGCUUAUAACGGAGAACGCCAUAUUAUUUGCUCAAAUAUAUGGUCAACCCCGUGGGAAGUUUACAAUUAUUUAAUUGUAUAACCCCGUAGAGACUUGUUCUAAUUUGUAGAACAGAUAAAAGUUUAUUUAAAACUUUUAUAACACGCCAACGCCUCGUUAAGCGAGGAUGAAGAUAUAGUCCGAUCCUUAGAGUAAUCUAAGAAAAAUGCUGACAGCGAUGUCGGCUCAACACAUCCUGGGGGUGAAGCCGCUCCCAAGGGUUUGGCUGUUCGCCAAUUAAAGUGUUACGUGAGCUGGGUUCAAACCGUCGUGAGACAGGUUGGUCCCUAUCUACCGCAGGCGUUGAGUUUUGAGGGGAUUUGCUCCUAGUACGAGAGGACCGGAGUGAACUGACCUCUGGUGUACCAGUUGUUCUGCCAAGAGCAUCGCUGGGUAGCUAUGUCGGGAAUAGAUAAGCGCUGAAAGCAUAUAAGCGCGAAACUAACCCCAAGAUGAGAACUCUUAGAUUUCCCGCAGAUGACGGGAUUGAUAGGCUUCAGGUGUAAGGCUAGUAAUAGCUUCAGCCGAGAAGUACUAAUAAAUCAUACAUUUUUUUAG
rfam:Parcubacteria bacterium GW2011_GWC2_32_10 TR22_C0026, whole genome shotgun sequence.